rnacentral:rRNA from 1 species
AGUGAACGCUGGCGGUAGGCCUAACACAUGCAAGUCGAACGGCAGCACAGUAAGAGCUUGCUCUUACGGGUGGCGAGUGGCGGACGGGUGAGGAAUACAUCGGAAUCUACUUUUUCGUGGGGGAUAACGUAGGGAAACUUACGCUAAUACCGCAUACGACCUACGGGUGAAAGCAGGGGAUCUUCGGACCUUGCGCGAUUGAAUGAGCCGAUGUCGGAUUAGCUAGUUGGGGGGUAAAGGCCCACCAAGGCGACGAUCCGUAGCUGGUCUGAGAGGAUGAUCAGCCACACUGGAACUGAGACACGGUCCAGACUCCUACGGGAGGCAGCAGUGGGGAAUAUUGGACAAUGGGCGCAAGCCUGAUCCAGCCAUACCGCGUGGGUGAAGAAGGCCUUCGGGUUGUAAAGCCCUUUUGUUGGGAAAGAAAUCCAGCCGGCUAAUACCUGGUUGGGAUGACGGUACCCAAAGAAUAAGCACCGGCUAACUUCGUGCCAGCAGCCGCAGUAAUAC